GAGACUGACUGGCGGCCUCCGUCCCCGCCACACCAGAGGAGCAAGAGAAAAGCUGCCAGAAGAGUCCUCCCCUUAUUUCACUCCGCCCCCAUCACCCUUUCCACUCUUCCUGCUUUGCUGAAUCGGCUAACGUUUCCGAGAAGCCACUUGACGCGGAGCGAGAGAAAGAACCACGGGCAGAGGAGAUCGAUCAGGCUACCGAGACUUCCAGGCAAGCAAAGAAUGCAUUUCCUUUCAAAGGUGGAGUGAGGAGCCCAGGUCUCCCUGGGUCGAGAGGGAGACUUGACGCAGAGGUUGCCUUUCCCCCACCUGGGACCCGCUCAUCUGGAUAGGCCAUCAGUCAUAUAGGUUCUGACUUUCGGAGCUGGAUAGGAGCGAUUGUGAAAAGAAAUCUUUAUAAAUCAUUGUGUGCGGUUGCAUGUGUGUGCGCGCGCGUUUUCUACAACAGCCUGUUGGGAGGAAGAAUGAUGCAAACAAAAUCGAAUUAUCUUUCUCAAAGAGAAACGGGAAAUUUCCACCAAGGAGGAAAAUGGAAAGAUUUAUGACGUUGUGGCAAAGUGGAUCCCGGCCUUAAAAAAGAGAUAGAUCACCUUGCUAUAUAAAUAUGAAUGAUGGGCGUUUGCAGCUUUAGUGUAAUUUACUUCCA
ensembl:lncRNA